rnacentral:rRNA from 1 species
CCUACGGGAGGCAGCAGUGGGGAAUAUUGGACAAUGGGCGAAAGCCUGAUCCAGCAAUGCCGCGUGAGUGAUGAAGGCCUUAGGGUUGUAAAGCUCUUUUACCAGGGAUGAUAAUGACAGUACCUGGAGAAUAAGCUCCGGCUAACUCCGUGCCAGCAGCCGCGGUAAUACGGAGGGAGCUAGCGUUAUUCGGAAUUACUGGGCGUAAAGCGUACGUAGGCGGUUAUUCAAGUCAGAGGUGAAAGCCCGGGGCUCAACCCCGGAACUGCCUUUGAAGCUAGAUAACUAGAGUCUUGGAGAGGUUAGUGGAAUUCCGAGUGUAGAGGUGAAAUUCGUAGAUAUUCGGAAGAACACCAGUGGCGAAGGCGACUAACUGGACAAGUACUGACGCUGAGGUACGAAAGCGUGGGGAGCAAACAGGAUUAGAUACCCUGGUAGUCCACGCCGUAAACGAUGAUAACUAGCUGUCCGGGCACUUGGUGCCUGGGUGGCGCAGCUAACGCAUUAAGUUAUCCGCCUGGGGAGUACGGUCGCAAGAUUAAAACUUAAAUGAAUUGACGG